GUGCUUUGGCAGCACAUAUACUAAAAUUGGAACGAUACAGAGAAGAUUAGCAUGGCCCCUGGGCAAGGAUGACACGCAAAUCUGUGAAGAAUUCCAUAUUAAA
rnacentral:snRNA from 2 species